rnacentral:rRNA from 1 species
GACGAACGCUGGCGGCGUGCUUAACACAUGCAAGUCGAACGGAAAGGCCCUGCUUUUGUGGGGUGCUCGAGUGGCGAACGGGUGAGUAACACGUGAGUAACCUGCCCUUGACUUUGGGAUAACUUCAGGAAACUGGGGCUAAUACCGGAUAGGAGCUCCUGCUGCAUGGGGGGGGUUGGAAAGUUUCGGCGGUUGGGGAUGGACUCGCGGCUUAUCAGCUUGUUGGUGGGGUAGUGGCUUACCAAGGCUUUGACGGGUAGCCGGCCUGAGAGGGUGACCGGCCACAUUGGGACUGAGAUACGGCCCAGACUCCUACGGGAGGCAGCAGUGGGGAAUAUUGCACAAUGGGCGGAAGCCUGAUGCAGCAACGCCGCGUGCGGGAUGACGGCCUUCGGGUUGUAAACCGCUUUCGCCUGUGACGAAGCGUGAGUGACGGUAAUGGGGAAAGAAGCACCGGCUAACUACGU